rnacentral:sRNA from 1 species
ACAGUAAAUGCAUUAUCGGAC